rnacentral:rRNA from 1 species
UUGGAGGGCAAGUCUGGUGCCAGCAGCCGCGGUAAUUCCAGCUCCAAUAGCGUAUAUUAAAGUUGUUGCAGUUAAAAAGCUCGUAGUUGAAUUUCGGGAUCAAUAUGUUGGUCGUGCCUUGGUACGUACUAGUUUAUUGGUUUCUCCCUUCUGACGAACCAUGAUGUCAUUAAUUUGGUGUCAUGUGGAAUCAGAACUGUUACUUUGAAAAAAUUAGAGUGUUUAAAGCAGGCUCACGCUUGAAUACAUUAGCAUGGAAUAAUGAAAUAGGACGUUUGAUUCUAUUUUGUUGGUUUCUAGGAUUGACGUAAUGAUUAAUAGGGAUAGUUGGGGGCAUUAAUAUUCAAUUGUCAGAGGUGAAAUUCUUGGAUUUAUUGAAGACUAACUACUGCGAAAGCAUUUGCCAAGGAUGUUUUCAUUAAUCAAGAACGAAAGUUAGGGGAUCGAAGACGAUCAGAUACCGUCGUAGUCUUAACCAUAAACUAUGCCGACUAGGGAUCGGAUGAUGUUAAUUUUUUAAUGACUCAUUCGGCGCCUUACGGGAAAC